rnacentral:tRNA from 5 species
GGAGGGGUUCCCGAGUGGCCAAAGGGAACAGACUGUAAAUCUGUCGGCGUAUGCCUUCGGAGGUUCAAAUCCUCCCCCCUCCACCA